CUUAAAGAUCUUUAUCUUUGCAAGUGCGAACGGGGUAUUAUAUAUUGAAAGACUGAUUAAGAGGACAAUUAAAAAAAAUCUUGCACCUGCCAGUUGGGGUGCAUGAUUCAAUCUGGUAUCUUCCUGUUAAAAAUGGAGGUUUAGGUUUCCAGAGACUUUUGCAUGCUAUAGUCAAACAAAAGUUAAAUGCCUCCUAUUGUAUUAAGAAUUCAGAGGAUAGAAUGGUUCGUGAAUGUUUUAAAUUAAGAAUUUGGCAAAAUUUGAAUUAUAUAAAAUUAGACAGUGGUGCAAUGUUAUUUCUUUAGAAAAGCAAGAUAUUGAAAAAUGAUAUCGAAAACAACAUAUUAUGGAAUUAGAAGCUCUUAAGAGAUCUGAUCAAGGUCAUGGGUACCAUUAUUUGUGUAAGAAUAGUAUAGGUUAUGAUUGGCUUUGGGGUUACUAACCCAAUCUUGAAAGAUGGUAAUUACAUCAAGGCUGUAAAAUUAUUAAGUAAUAACCUGCCAGUGAAAUUUAAUGUGAUGAAAGGUAGGAAUAGAGGCGAUCAUAAUUGUCGCUUAUAUCAUUGUAAUAUUGAAUUGCAGGUGUACAUGUUACAGAUGUGUCGUGAAAUGGCUAAUAUUAUAAGUAUAAG
rnacentral:lncRNA from 1 species